rnacentral:rRNA from 1 species
UACGGGGGGGGGCAAGCGUUGUUCGGAAUUACUGGGCGUAAAGCGCGCGUAGGCGGACCUGCAAGUCGGGGGUGAAAGCCCGAGGCUCAACCUCGGAACUGCCUUCGAUACUGCGGGUCUCGAGUCCGGGAGAGGUGAGUGGAAUUCCUAGUGUAGAGGUGAAAUUCGUAGAUAUUAGGAAGAACACCAGUGGCGAAGGCGGCUCACUGGCCCGGUACUGACGCUGAGGCGCGAAAGCGUGGGGAGCAAACAGGG